GUGCUCGCUUUGGCAGCACAUAUACCAAAAUUGGAACGAUACAGAGAAGAUUAGCACGGCCCCUGCGCAAGGAUGAUGACAAAUCAUGACUAGUAGCCAGGCAAA
rnacentral:snRNA from 1 species